ACGAACGCUGGCGGCGUGCUUAACCCAUGCAAGUCGAACGGAAAGGCCCUGCUUUUGUGGGGUGCUCGUGUGGCGAACGGGUGAGUAACACGUGAGUAACCUGCCCUUGACUUUGGGAUAACUUCAGGAAACUGGGGCUAAUACCGGAUAGGAGCUCCUGCUGCAUGGUGGGGGUUGGAAAGUUUCGGCGGUUGGGGAUGGACUCGCGGCUUAUCAGCUUGUUGGUGGGGUAGUGGCUUACCAAGGCUUUGACGGGUAGCCGGCCUGAGAGGGUGACCGGCCACAUUGGGACUGAGAUACGGCCCAGACUCCUACGGGAGGCAGCGGUGGGGAAUAUUGCACAAUGGGCGGAAGCCUGAUGCAGCAACGCCGCGUGCGGGAUGACGGCCUUCGGGUUGUAAACCGCUUUCGCCUGUGACGAAGCGUGAGUGACGGUAAUGGGUAAAGAAGCACCGGCUAACUACGUG
rnacentral:rRNA from 1 species